rnacentral:rRNA from 1 species
CCUACGGGUGGCAGCAGUGAGGAAUAUUGGUCAAUGGGCGGAAGCCUGAACCAGCCAAGUCGCGUGAGGGAUGACUGCCCUAUGGGUUGUAAACUUCUUUUAUAUGGGAAUAAAAUGUUCCACGUGUGGGAUUUUGUAUGUACCAUAUGAAUAAGGAUCGGCUAACUCCGUGCCAGCAGCCGCGGUAAUACGGAGGAUCCGAGCGUUAUCCGGAUUUAUUGGGUUUAAAGGGAGCGUAGGUGGAUUGUUAAGUCAGUUGUGAAAGUUUGCGGCUCAACCGUAAAAUUGCAGUUGAAACUGGCAGUCUGGAGUACAGUAGAGGUGGGCGGAAUUCGUGGUGUAGCGGUGAAAUGCUUAGAUAUCACGAAGAACUCCGAUUGCGAAGGCAGCUCACUGGACUGCAACUGACACUGAGGCUCGAAAGUGUGGGUAUCAAACAGGAUUAGAUACCCCGGUAGUC